GCAGGUUUACCUUCAAUGUGUCCAUGAGGCCGUUCAUAGCAAGGCAUUGCACAUAUACAUUACAAAGAAUGCAGCAUAAGUGCACUUACAUUGAAGCAAAACAGUAAAACUGCUCUAAAAAAGCAA
rnacentral:lncRNA from 1 species